UACGGAGGGUGCAAGCAUUGAUCGGAAUUACUGGGCGUAAAGGGCGCGUAGGUGGCUUGUUAAGUUGAAGGUGAAAUCUCGGGGCUCAACUCCGAAACUGCCUUCAAUACUGGCGAGCUCGAGGACUGUAGAGGAGAAUGGAAUUCACGGUGUAGCAGUGAAAUGCGUAGAUAUCGUGAGGAAGACCAGUGGCGAAAGCGAUUCUCUGGGCAGUUCCUGACACUGAGGCACGAAGGCCAGGGGAGCAAACGGG
rnacentral:rRNA from 1 species